GAUGAAGAACGCAGCGAAAUGCGAUAAGUAGUGUGAAUUGCAGAAUUCAGUGAAUCAUCGAAUCUUUGAACGCACAUUGCGCCCUUUGGUAUUCCUUAGGGCAUGCCUGUUCGAGCGUCAUUUAAACCUUCAAGCUCAGCUUGGUGUUGGGUGACUGUCCGCCGCCUCCGGGCGGUCGGACUCGCCUCAAAUUGAUUGGCGGCCGGUACUUUGGCUUCGAGCGCAGCAGAAACGCGAACUCGAGGCCGUCGUCCUGGCUCCCAGAAGCUAUCUUCACAAUUUUGACCUCGGAUCAGGUAGGGAUACCCGCUGAACUUAAGCAUAUCAAUAAGCGGAGA
rnacentral:misc_RNA from 1 species